GCCAUAUCAGUUCUGUUAUACUCACAUACAUUAUUUUAACAGUUGUGGAAACUUUAGAGUGUUUUCUAUCCAAAUCUACUAAUUACAUGCAUAUCCUAUCUGCUGGGCCUGAGUAGCAGGCAGUUUAAUUUGGGCACGCUUUUCAUCCAAAAUUCUGAAUGCUGCUCCCUACCCUAGUGAAGUUAAAUAUUUCUAAGAAUAUUUUUUUGCAUUUUGCGUUAUGCUAAUGAGCUUGAGCCGUAGUCACGAUCCCGGAUCCGGGAUGGGUAGCAUCAAGAGGUUUUAACUAUUCAUGAAAAUCGCAAAUUAAAUGAAAUAAAUAUAUUGGCUCACAAGCUUAACCUUUUGUUAACAACACUGUCAUCUCAGAUUUUCAAAAUAUGCUUUUCAACCAUAGCUACACAAGCAUUUGUGUAAGAGUAUUGAUAGCUAGCAUAGCAUUAAGCCUAGCAUUCAGCAGGCAACAUUUUCACAAAAACAAGAAAAGCAUUCAAAUAAAAUCAUUUACCUUUGAAGAACUUUGGAUGUUUUCAAUGAGGAGACUCUCAGUUAGAUAGCAAAUGUUCAGUUUUUCCAAAAAGAUUAUUCGUGUAGGAGAAAUUGCUCUGUUUUGUUCAUCACGUUUGGCUAAGAAAAAAAAAACGAAAAUUCAGUCAUUACAACGCCAAACUUUUUUCAAGAUUAACUCCAUAAUAUCGACAGAAACAUGGCAAGCGUUGUUUAGAAUCAAUCCUCAAGGUGUUUUUCACAUAUCUAUUCGAUGAUAAGUCAUUCGUGGCAGUUGGGUUUCUCCUCUGAAGCAAAUGGAAAAAUACACGCAGGUGGAGAUUACGCAAUAAUUGCAACGGAGGACACCAAGCGAGCACCUGGUAAAUGUAGUCUCUUAUGGUCAAUCUUCCAAUGACAUGCCUACAAAUAUGUCACAAUGCUGCAGACACCUUGGCGAAACGACAGAAAGUGUAAGCUCAUUCCUUGCACAUUCACAGCCAUAUAAGGAGACAUUGGAACACAGCGCCUUCAAAAUC
ensembl:lncRNA